rnacentral:rRNA from 1 species
AUUGAACGCUGGCGGCAGGCCUAACACGUGCAAGUCGAGCGGAUGAAGGGAGCUUGCUCCUGGAUUCAGCUGCGGACGGGUGGGUAAUUCCUAGGAAUCUGCCUUGUAUUUGGGGCUAACGUCCGGACACGGGCGCUAAUACCGCAUACGUCCUUAGGGUGAACGUGGGGGAUCUUCGGACCUCACGCUAUCAGAUGAGCCUAGGUCGGAUUAGCUAGUUGGUGGGGUAAAGGCCUACCAAGGCGACGAUCCGUAACUGGUCUGAGAGGAUGAUCAGUCACACUGGAACUGAGACACGGUCCAGACUCCUACGGGAGGCAGCAGUGGGGAAUAUUGGACAAUGGGCGAAAGCCUGAUCCAGCCAUGCCGCGUGUGUGAAGAAGGUCUUCGGAUUGUAAAGCACUUUAAGUGGGGAAGAAGAGCAGUAAGUUAAUACCUUGCUGUUUUGACGGUACCAAAAGAAUAAGCACCGGCUAACUUCGUG